UUUUUUUUUUUUUGAGAUGGAGUCUCACUCUGUGGCCCAGGCUGGAGUGCAGUGGUGCAAUUUCAGCUCACUGCGACCUCCGCCUCCUGGGUUCAAGGGAUUCUCCUGCUUCAGCCUCCCAAGUAGCUGAGAAUACAGGUGCAUGCCACCAUGCCCGGCUAAUUUUUGUAUUUUUGGUAGAGACAGCAUUUCACUGUUGGCCAGGCUGGUCUCAAACUCCUGGCUUCGUGAUGCACCCGCCUCAGCCUCCCAAAGUGCUGGGAUUACUGGUGUGAGCCAUUGUGCCCGGCCAAAGGCUUUUCUUAAUAAAAAUAAAACAAAAUUUACAGAGCAGGAAGAUUAUCAAAGGCUUGGGUUCUAGUGUUAGCUCUGCCACUAACAGCUGGAUGGCCCCCAGCAAAUCACUUAAUCCUCACUGUGUAACUUCUCCUUGUAAAAUGGAGAUAACAGUACACACCCCACAGGGUUGUUUCAGGAUUAAAUGAGACUGCAGAUAUAAAGUAUCUAGCACAAUCCCUGGCACAUGAAGGGGGUUCAAUCCAUGGUAGAAAUGAUUAAUAAUAUUCUGAUAUUUCUUACCUGUCGGCAUUGAAGGGUUGGAGCGUGAAGAUCAAGGGACUGUAAAAGUACUGAAUGAACUAGAGGGACCGAGACAAAUCUCAGAUGUUCUUUUUAGGUGUUACUGGGCUCUAAGUUAAAUCUGUUAGUACUGGGAAGUGGAGCAAUGAGAUAAAGAUACAUUAUCAAGGACAAACUUUCCCUUUACACAGAUACCUGAUAUACCUAAUUCCAGCCAUAAAGUUGCUGAAAUACGAGGAAUGCCAGUGCCUAACAGACUUCCUCAGGGGGGUGUUGUGAAGAUUAAUAGUUUAGAAUGGUGUCACCGUUAUUAAGGUGCUUGGAUUCCCUCGAGCAGAGGGGAUAUGUAAAUCCAGAGACUCAUCAUAAAAGUAAUAUCAUCACUGUUUCUCACAGCCGACUGUUUCCUAAGCUGGGAUAGAAUUUCCAGAAG
rnacentral:lncRNA from 1 species